rnacentral:lncRNA from 1 species
AGUUUUACCGGAAACAAAGUAAUGAAAAGAGAUGCGGUGGGGUGUGGCGGGGCCUGCCCCCUGCCGGAAGAAGUUUGGGUGCAGCCCAGUAUUCAAGCUCCAGGACAAAGGGGGCGGGGAGGCCGCCACUAGCAAACAACCUCAGCUUCAUAAAUCCAGCAGAAAGGUCCGGGGUAUUGUUGAAAAGGUCGGAAGGACCAAGAUUAUGUCCGCCAGCCUAAGUGGGACGAACAACCAAGUUGUGCGAUGCAGCUUUAAAGGGGCUGGUGAUUGACAGAAUGGUGUAGUAGUAGAUGGGGUGGAGCCGCUGGGUGGGGUCGAGACUGGCAGCUGAGAGAUACCAAAAGGAAGAAAAAAGAAAACCAUUGCUCUUGAUAUUGCUAAUGCCGGGGGAGGUAAGCUAACGAGAAAGUAGGGAAAAGGAAGGUUUUAGAGUUCACCUCCACUCCUUCCCCUGGCUAACACUCUUUACACUCUUCUGCCUUCCCUUGAGAUAAUUAAAAUAGACUGUACACCGGCCCUAGUCGGUGCCCAUUCCCCCUAACUCUUCACUCAACUACGUGUGUAGUCCGAGGGAGUGAGGACCCCGGGUCCAAGAGCUCAAUCCCGGCCCCGCCCCGUCGGCCCAGGCCCCGGGGCUGGGAGGAGAGGAUGCCUUCGGAGGCGCAGAAUCCGAAAAGAUGUGGUUGGAGCUGGAAGCUGUUAUCCUCAGCAAACUAAUGCAGGAGGAGAAAACCAAAUACUGCAAGUUCUCACUUAUAAGUGGGAACUGAAUGAUGAGAACAUUUGGACAUGGUAAGGGGAGGACAACAUGCAGUGGGGCCUGUUGGGGAGUAUGGCAGGAGGGAAAGCAUCAGGAAAUUCACUAAUAGAUGCUGGGCUUAAUAACUUGAUGAUGGGAUGAUCUGUGCAGCAAACCACCAUGGCACAUGUUUACUAAUGUAACAAACCUGCACAUUCAGCACAUGUACCCCUGAACUUAAAAUAAAGCAAAAUAAAAAUAAAAA